AAGGAGCUUGCUCCUUUGACGUUAGCGGCGGACGGGUGAGUAACACGUGGAUAACCUACCUAUAAGACUGGGAUAACUUCGGGAAACCGGAGCUAAUACCGAUAAGAUUUUGAACCGCAUGGUUCAAUAGUGAAAGACGGCCUUGCUGUCACUUAUAGAUGGAUCCGCGCCGUAUUAGCUAGUUGGUAAGGUAACGGCUUACCAAGGCAACGAUACGUAGCCGACCUGAGAGGGUGAUCGGCCACACUGGAACUGAGACACGGUCCAGACUCCUACGGGAGGCAGCAGUAGGGAAUCUUCCGCAAUGGGCGAAAGCCUGACGGAGCAACGCCGCGUGAGUGAUGAAGGUCUUCGGAUCGUAAAAACUCUGUUAUCAGGGAAGAACAAACGUGUAAGUAACUGUGCACGUCUUGACGGUACCUGAUCAGAAAGCCACGGCUAACUACGUG
rnacentral:rRNA from 1 species